CUUUUUAUGGUGUACCAAUAACACGCAGCCUUUUCGUGGUUGAGAGAGUUUUGCUUAAGAAGU
rnacentral:tRNA from 1 species